rnacentral:snRNA from 1 species
GGGUGUGCUGACCUCUGUGAUUUCCCCAAAUGUGGGAAACUCAACUGUAGAAUUUGUGGUAGUGGGGGACUGCGUUCGCGCUUUCCCCUG